CCCCUUCUAUCUCUACCUUCAACUGUAAAAAAGAAAAAGAAAACUUCUCGUUUUCUUUCUCUGACGCUAUAACGUGUUUCGUUUUCUCUCUCUAGAAAUGGGAACAGCUAUCCUCCGUUCCCACGAUUGCCUCCAAGGUCGCUUUCUCCGUAAUGAAGCCUUCGCCAUAGCUACGUCACGCGUAGCGUCGCGAAGAAACUCUAACCCUAAUAACAAACAUGCCUUCGCCUCCUCCGCCAAUCAAAUACGCCGCCGGAAGCGGAGUCCGGUCAUUGAUCGAGAUCGCCAUCGAUCCUCCGACCGAUCGACGGAGGAUUCUCCGUCCUCGGCGAACCUCGUCAUGGGACAAGUUAAGAUCCUGAAGCGGGGCGAGAAUUUGAGCCUGCUGAACAAUCAUACCGAGGUUAGAUCGAAGAGGGAGAUGGGCCUGGAUUUGUUACUGGGCUCCACGGUCCGAUUGGGGCCCGAUCCUUUAACCGUGAAGAAGCAGAUUAGGGUUUCGGAUCCGAACAACGGCGUGUACGCGGGAUCGGCGUUCGUUUCGUCGCCGCAUCCGAGUUCCGUUCCGGUGCCGGGAUUUUUAGGACGUAACGGCGCGGCCACCAGUGAUUUGCGGCGGUUGCUGCGACUCGAUUUGGAAUGAUUAGUUCGAUGAUUUCGGUGUUUGCUUAAUAUUUGUCUUCUACUUUGGAAUGAUUAGUUGUUGGUGUAUGAUGAGUGCCCGUAUGGUCUCUGAUGCGCUUCCUUUAUUUUUUCAAGAGGAUAGCCGCAGGGUUCGGGCACCUGAAGAAGAAGCGGAGAAAGCAACGCGUGAAGGUGGUAGGAAGGAUAUUUGUGCUACAGUUUCUGAAAGGGAUCAGUGCUGUGAAGUGGCGUCAAGGAAACUCGGGACUAUCUCCUUAACUUCACCGCACUCCCACUUCCUCUGCAAUAGUAUGAUUGGGUGCCUAAGGAAGUGUUGCGGAACACCACACUGUCUCCACCAACGUAAAACACAAGAACAGGUUGGAGGGUUAAAUGUGGGGUGCAAGAAGCAAUUCCAUAAUUGUUUUCUGAGUCUCCCCAUUACACUACUUUUUCCUUUUCCAGAUACAAACACAUCUGAAGUGUUUUUGGACAUGGCGAGUCUAAUGAAGCAAAGGACAGCAGCUGAACAAGAUAGAGAGAAACAUGGCAGUGACCACUUUUUAAGAAAUAUUCAUCAAUCAUAAAUGCUCAAGAAUAAAAAUAUUAAAACUUAAUUUUAAAUUAUAAGUUUUAUAAUAGGCUUUAGAAUAUACUUUUUCUAAAAUUAUAAUGUGUAGUCUGGAAACACAUUUCGACAAUAUUUUUUAGAUAAAAUAAGAAUUUUGAAAACCCAUUUUUUUUAUUUUACCUAUAAAACGGAAAAAUUAUGGAAGUACCAAAAAACAAUUUCAAAAGGAUUAACAACCAGAAAAUCACAAGAAAAUUUCUAAAUGAUCCCUCUCCUCUCUUUGUGCUAUAGUUUGUCCAUAUAAUUUUAAAUUGGUUGAUAUCGAAUUGUUUUCCGAUUAUACAACUUGAAACUUUUUCUUGAGUCACAAUUUUUUUAAAUCAAUAAAGAUCUUAUUGUUCUUGUACAUAAAUACUAAAAAAAAUGUGUAGAUAAAUGUAACAUGAAAAAUGAAAAUUGCACACCAGAUGUAUAUUUAUGACAAUAUUAAAAUGAAAAGAUGAAUAUAAAAUUAAAAAAUAAUUGAGAUAUAUUUUAUUGAUAAUAUGAAAGAUAAUGUAGUUAGAAGUGAGGAUGAGAUAUUGCUUGUGUCUUUUGUUAUUAUUUUGUUCAGCUUAUAAGAAAAUACGUAUUAAUUUUGGACAGAGUAAUGAUACAUUUUUUCGUAUUAAUAUUUUAUAUUUUUUAUAAUAAAAAAAUUAUUAAUAAUGUGUAAACGGUAAAGUGUCAUAUUUGAUAAAAUGUAAAUAAAA